AUGCCGUUUGGACUCCAGCCCAGGUGGUCAUGCAGUGGUAGAGCUGGUGAAUGGGUCUCCAGAGGGCUGAGGUGUCGGCCAAGCCAGACCCCACUGUGCUUUGCUCGCCCCGCUGCAGCGGGAGGCGGGUGCUGCGGUGCCAGAGCCCAUCCCCAGCGCCCCGGCCUGAACCGAGGGGGCAAACGCCCCUGGGAGGCCUGCGGGGUGCUGGGGCGGGCACCCUUGUGCUGCUCCUACCCGCAGCCGUGCCAGCACCGGGGUGCAGAGCAGGGUGGGUGCUGUGUGCGUGAACCCACCCGUGCUGCCCAGGCGAACCCUGCGGGCUCAGCAUGCCACAAAGUCAUGCACAGCCUUGCACUGAGGCCAGCGGGAUCCCUCGGAGCAGUGUCCCCCAAGAGCUGGCCGUGCCCCGAUCCAAGCCACUUGGUUCCCCAGCCCUCCCAGCAAAGCCCAAGCUGGGAAGGAAGCUGCUUGCUCAGAAAAGAAAAUCAGAAAGAAAUUGGCUUUCACGGGGAUGGAGGAGAAACACCUGCAGCUCCGCAUGGCUCGGGGCAGGCGGCGGGUCUGGAUGUGCCCACAGCAGGAGGAGAUCCUGGCCUGAGCCUGAGGCAGAAAAGAUGUGAGGUCCCCACAGCAUCCCUGCCAGCCCCGCACCUGCACUCCCCACUCUCCCCCCAAAACCAUCCCUUCCUACUCUGGCCACGGCACCCAGCCCUGCACCAAUGCCCAAAGUGCGCCCGCUGCCCCCGCAUCCCGCCGGCAUCGCCCUGCUGCUCCACGGGGAUGCUCGGAGGCAUCCCCCGAGGCCAUCCCCAUCCCUGUCCCUGUCCCCAUCCCCGUCCCCGUCCCCACCCCAGCGGCCACGGCUCCCAGAAGCGACAGAGCCCCGACUGCAGCGACGGCGCGGACAAGACAGCACAUCAGGGAAAAUUUCCAGUCUUCCUCUUUUACAGUCUCUGUCUCCUGCCGCGGAGGGAGCUAACUGGAACAAAUACUCUGUAG
rnacentral:lncRNA from 1 species